rnacentral:lncRNA from 1 species
CAGGGCCGUAACUAGGGUUCGAAUUCAGGGGAGGCAAGGGUUUGGGGGCUGCCGAUUGAGGACCCCUUGAGAGGGGGGUUGGGGGCGCAGCUCCCCGCCGCUUUUUUCUCGCGGUAAAAUGGCUAAAAAUGACCCGUUUUCCUUCGAUUUCCUUACUUUAAGAAACAUCAAUAUUGCUUUAACCUGGAAGCAAUUUUUAUGCAAAACAAGCUGAGAUUGCUGUUCGGGUGAGUUAAGGCUCCGUCUUGAAGGCCGUACUUUGACCUAUAAUUAUUAACAUUAAAUACAUUGGGACCGCUGAUUGUUUUUCUGAAUAUAGCUAAAAAUGACCCGUUUUCCUUCGAUUUCCUUAAUUUUAAGAAACAUCAGCUCAUUGCUGGAUCCUGGAAGCGUUUUUUAUGCAAACAAUUAUUAUCUGUAUUUAAAGAUAUUUUUGUUAGAAAUCAAACAGGUAAGUUAAAAAAAACAUAUAAAGCAAAAUCAUAGAACGCAAGAUUUUGUUUUAUAUCUAGGACCUUGAAUUAACGUAAUUUUAAGUGUACUUUUUUGUAUAUAACGACAUGUAUAUAACUACAACCAGGGACCUAUAUAUAAUAGUAUAUACUUAGUAUAGAAAGUCCCUGCUACAACGAAUGGGAGUGUUUAACUACUAAGGCAUUGACCAGAUUGUUCUCGUACGAUCGGGAGACGUUAAAACAAAUUUAAUAACCCAACAGCUCAUUUAGCCGGUAACAAAUUUCCGAUAUCAUAAAAGAUUCACAAUACAAUGGAAACUUCCUCUGCUUAAUUGAGCACCUAAAUAAAAAUGAAUAGUUAAGUUUUAUUCAAAAUUGUCGAAAGCAAAGUUUCAUAUGUGUUCUCGUACGAAUACUGAAUAAAAGACGGACGGCCACACGAAAAAAAAAAAAUAAAAAUACUGAAACGGUUCACUUUCGAUCAAAAAUCCGGAAAAUGACAGAUAUAUCACGUAUCAUGAUAACACUGUUAAAACUGUACAAACUUGUGUUGUUUUUAAUAUAAAUUCAAGUUCUUCGUGUACAUAUUGUCAAUAUUUCAUUAUAAAUAACUUCAAAAAAAAAUGUUGUAGAAAAUUCAGGGGAGGCAUUUGCCUCCCUUGCCUCAUAGGUAGUUACGGC